AUGACCUUCACAACCUUAGCGCACUGGAACAACAAGUGCAUAACAUUAGCCGGACCUUGGUUGCCAAAUUUUUCGAAGCCGCCGCGCUGGACGCAUAUGGAUGGUAUGAUCUUGUGUGAUCAUCUGGGAGCUAUUAACUUUUCUUCAUGCAGGGCUUUGUAUUCGUGCAGAGACCCCCUUGAGGCGGAGCUUCGUGCAUGUAUGGAGGGUAUAUCACUUGCUUUACAACGCAGUGAUCUGCCUGUUGCUUUGGAGUUGGAUUCCCUUGAGGUGGUUUCUCUCAUAUCAAGCUCGGACACAGAUCGAUCUGUUUACUCUUCAAUUGUUAGAGAGAUUAAGUACCUUAUGGGUCUUCGGAAAACCUGUAUCUCUCAUGUCGCGAGAACACAAAAUAAAGCUAGUGAUAGCUUAGCUAGUUUUGCUAGAACCCAAGGUAGGACCAUGACCUGGUUAGGUGCUGGUCCAGUUGAAGUAGUGGAGAUAGCUUUGAAUGAUUGUAAGGAUGUCGUGAUUGAGUAA
rnacentral:rRNA from 1 species